rnacentral:lncRNA from 1 species
CAAGUUCUGGGUUUGCAAGUUUUUUCAAAUAUGAAGUAUCAAAAAAAUUGAAAAUAUGAACAUUAAUUGCAAUAAAUAAAUUCUAAACAUUCAUAAAAAACCAUUUAAACCUUUUUUGUAUAGCUAUACAAUACAAUACAGUUGGUUUAUAGCAAAAACUCUGUUGUCUGCUUCAAAAUUAUGGCCAAAAAGGAGGAAUGGCCAAAAAGGAUAAAUUCUAUCGAACAAGUCACUUGUUCGAUAGAAUUUAUUUGUAAUGUAUGCAAGCCGAAGAGGAUUAAAAAAUCAAAAGCGCUACUUGCAAAAUCAGAACUCUGUGUCAUUUUCUGUGUCAAAGUUUUUACCUUCCUGCCGUUGUGCUAUAAUUUUUAUAGUCUAUACAUUAUGGUAGCGUAUGUAUGAUGUAAUUAAGAAAGAAGUUUUUAAUAUUUAAAACAUAUACUCUAUUUAGUAACAGUUUUUAUUCCAUUUUCGUAUUGUUUUAGAUGAUUCAGCAUCGCUGAACUGUGUAAUACAUAAAUCAAAGAUAUUUUCAUACGUCUCGUUGUCAAAAAUCUAAUUUAAUACCUUUUACUAUAUCUUUGACUUUUUUAAUACCUUUUACUAUAUUUUAAUACCUUCUACUGUAUCUUAUCUAAUACCUUUUAAUACCUUUUAUUAUAUAUCUGCCAUCAAUCACAUACUCGUAUUUUGUUUUCUUAAAAAAUAACUUUGAUAAUUCGUAGAAAAUAUUACACCCACUAUAAAUGUGGGCUAUUGAAAAUUAUCUAAACUGCAUGGAUUACCCCUGAUAUAAAUGAGCGAAAAUCUGUGAUUUAAUCGUAUAACCUUGGAGAUCAUUAAAGAACUGCGAACCCGUAUACCAAGGAGCGGGUAAAUAGCUAACACAGAUCUCUCUAUUGCGCACACGCAUCACUGGGUCGACGUAUGAGUCACAUGGUGUGGAAGAUGGAUCCAACUCGUAGAGAUAGGAAUAGUAUAGCUAGAGGGCACGUUGAGGAGACCGGGCCAUGUUGGUUAAGUAAGCUUAACUAACGCGGCGCCGGUAUGCAUCCAUUGGUAAAUAUAUAUAUAUAUGGAUGUAUAAUCAAAGUAAUUGUGUGGGAAAAUACACAAUAAUUCACUAAGAAGUAAGGUAGUUUGAUACUGCAAUGAUUUAAAGAAAAGAAGCAUCUUAAACCAUAAAAUGUGGACAUGGGAAUAUCUUUUAAUCAAUUUAAAGAAAUACAAACCAUAUUAUACAUGUUAUCACUCUAUGCAUAUUAAAUCUGAAACAAUUUUUUUAUCAAAAAUACAUUGUUUAUCUUCAGCAUUCCAACUGUAUUUUACUAAUUUAAAGUAAUUUACUCAAUAUUUUCAUAACAAAAUGACUUCAUUCGACUAAUUUUUCCAUGUUCGAUCAAAAUAGUGAUAAUUCGACCAUUUCGAAAAAAAUGAAAAAUCUAUAUACAUCGCUGCCCCGCUAUACUUAUCCAAUAUGGCGGUCGGUUUCCUCAACUGCUUCCAUUCAGGCGACUGGGAGAUGCGCACUCUAGAUAUACUAUUCUUAUCUCUAUGAUUAUAAU